rnacentral:rRNA from 1 species
GACGAACGCUGGCGGCGUGCUUAACACAUGCAAGUCGAACGGAAAGGCCCUGCUUGCCGGGUACUCGAGUGGCGAACGGGUGAGUAACACGUGGGUGAUCUGCCCUGCACUUCGGGAUAAGCCUGGGAAACUGGGUCUAAUACCGGAUAGGAGCCAUUUUUAGUGUGAUGGUUGGAAAGUUUUUUCGGUGUAGGAUGAGCUCGCGGCCUAUCAGCUUGUUGGUGGGGUAAUGGCCUGCCAAGGCGGCGACUGGUAGCCGGCCUGAGAGGGUGGACGGCCACAUUGGGACUGAGAUACGGCCCAGACUCCUACGGGAGGCAGCAGUGGGGAAUAUUGCACAAUGGGCGCAAGCCUGAUGCAGCGACGCCGCGUGGGGGAUGACGGCCUUCGGGUUGUAAACUCCUUUCGCUAGGGACGAAGCUUUUUGUGACGGUACCUAGAUAAGAAGCACCGGCUAACUACGUG